rnacentral:rRNA from 1 species
UACGUAGGGGGCAAGCGUUGUCCGGAAUUACUGGGCGUAAAGGGAGCGUAGGCGGUCUGUUAAGUGGGAUGUGAAAAACCCGGGCUUAACCCGGGAGGUGCAUUCUAAACUGGCAGACUUGAGUGUGGGAGAGGAAAGUGAAAUUCCUAGUGUAGCGGUGAAAUGCGUAGAUAUUAGGAGGAACACCAGUGGCGAAGGCGGCUUUCUGGACCAUAACUGACGCUGAGGCUCGAAAGCGUGGGGAGCAAACAGGAUUAGAUACCCUGGUAGUCCACGCUGUAAACGAUGAAUACUAGGUGUAGGGGGUAUCAACUCCCUCUGUGCCGCAGCAAACGCAAUAAGUAUUCCGCCUGGGGAGUACGAUCGCAAGAUUGAA